AGGUUACUGCUAUCGGUGUUCGCCUAAGCCAUGCGAGUCAUAUGUAGCAAUACAUGGCGUACUGCUCAGUAACACGUGGAUAACCUGCCCUUGGGUCCGGCAUAACCCCGGGAAACUGGGGAUAAUUCCGGAUAACGCACAUAUGCUGGAAUGCUUUCUGCGUAAAAUGGAUUCGUCUGCCCAAGGAUGGGUCUGCGGCCUAUCAGGUAGUAGUGGGUGUAAUGUACCUACUAGCCUACGACGGGUACGGGUUGUGAGAGCAAGAGCCCGGAGAUGGAUUCUGAGACAUGAAUCCAGGCCCUACGGGGCGCAGCAGGCGCGAAAACUUUACAAUGCGGGAAACCGUGAUAAGGGGACACCGAGUGCCAGCAUCAUAUGCUGGCUGUCCGGGUGUGUAAAAUACACCUGUUAGCAAGGGCCGGGCAAGACCGGUGCCAGCCGCCGCGGUAACACCGGCGGCCCGAGUGGUGAUCGUGAUUAUUGGGUCUAAAGGGUCCGUAGCCGGUUUGGUCAGUCCUCCGGGAAAUCUGACAGCUCAACUGUUAGGCUUUCGGAGGAUACUGCCAGACUUGGAACCGGGAGAGGUAAGAGGUACUACAGGGGUAGGAGUGAAAUCUUGUAAUCCCUGUGGGACCACCUGUGGCGAAGGCGUCUUACCAGAACGGGUUCGACGGUGAGGGACGAAAGCUGGGGGCACGAACCGGAUUAGAUACCCGGGUAGUCCCAGCCGUAAACGAUGCUCGCUAGGUGUCAGGCAUGGCGCGACCGUGUCUGGUGCCGCAGGGAAGCCGUGAAGCGAGCCACCUGGGAAGUACGGCCGCAAGGCUGAAACUUAA
rnacentral:rRNA from 1 species